AUUGAACGCUGGCGGCAGGCCUAACACAUGCAAGUCGAGCGAGCGGCGGACGGGUGAGUAAUGUAUGGGGAUCUGCCCGAUAGAGGGGGAUAACUACUGGAAACGGUGGCUAAUACCGCAUACUGAUGGAUGGACCCGCGGUGCAUUAGCUAGUUGGUGAGGUAACGGCUCACCAAGGCCACGAUGCAUAGCCGACCUGAGAGGGUGAUCGGCAACACUGGGACUGAGACACGGCCCAGACUCCUACGGGAGGCAGCAGUGGGGAAUAUUGCACAAUGGGCGCAAGCCUGAUGCAGCCAUGCCGCGUGUAUGAAGAAGGCCUUAGGGUUGUAAAGUACUUUCAGCGGGGAGGCGUUACCCGCAGAAGAAGCACCGGCUAACUCCGUGCCAGCAGCCGCGGUAAUUC
rnacentral:rRNA from 1 species